rnacentral:rRNA from 1 species
UACGUAGGGCGCAAGCGUUAUCCGGAAUUAUUGGGCGUAAAGAGCUCGUAGGCGGUUUGUCGCGUCUGCCGUGAAAGUCCGGGGCUCAACUCCGGAUCUGCGGUGGGUACGGGCAGACUAGAGUGAUGUAGGGGAGACUGGAAUUCCUGGUGUAGCGGUGAAAUGCGCAGAUAUCAGGAGGAACACCGAUGGCGAAGGCAGGUCUCUGGGCAUUAACUGACGCUGAGGAGCGAAAGCAUGGGAGCGAACAGG